rnacentral:tRNA from 1 species
GAAGGUGUAGCUGAGUGGUAGAGCACUUCCUAAGGAUGCCCUGGGUUCAAUCUCAGCACCAUUA